UCUGUAUUCCCAGGACUGUCCAGAGGAGAAGCUCCCAGAGAACCAUCAGGAUGAAAAUCUGAUGGAUAUUAAGGUUGAGAUUAAAGAUGAAGCAAAAGAGGAGAUAGAUUUAUGGGGCGAUCAGCAGGAUGGACUCCUAGAAGGAAAUCCCCCCGGGAGAUGUCCCCGUCCUCUGUAUUCCCAGGACUGUCCAGAGGAGAAGCUCCCAGAGAACCAUCAGGAUGAAAAUCUGAUGGAUAUUAAGGCUGAGGUUAAAGAUGAAGCAAAAGAGGAGACGGAUUUAUGGGGCG